AGCGAACGCUGGCGGCAGGCCUAACACAUGCAAGUCGAACGAACCCUUCGGGGUUAGUGGCGGACGGGUGAGUAACACGUGGGAACGUGCCUUUAGGUUCGGAAUAACUCAGGGAAACUUGUGCUAAUACCGAAUGUGCCCUUCGGGGGAAAGAUUUAUCGCCUUUAGAGAGGCCCGCGUCUGAUUAGCUAGUUGGUGAGGUAAUGGCUCACCAAGCAUACGAUCAGUAGCUGGUCUGAGAGGAUGACCAGCCACAUUGGGACUGAGACACGGCCCAAACUCCUACGGGAGGCAGCAGUGGGGAAUCUUGCGCAAUGGGCGAAAGCCUGACGCAGCCAUGCCGCGUGGAUGAUGAAGGCCUUAGGAUUGUAAAAUCCUUUCACCGGUGAAGAUAAUGACUGUAGCCGGAGAAGAAGCCCCGGCUAACUUCGUGCCAGCAGCCGCAGUAAGAC
rnacentral:rRNA from 1 species